rnacentral:lncRNA from 1 species
ACCUAGCAAAGGUCAGGCAAAUCUGGUCUCCAGGACAGACUCUGCUCCCUUUGAAGGAGAGAAGACAAGAAGAAGGCAUAAAGGAAGAAAGCCCCACAGAAAGGCUCAGGACUGUAGCAGCUCCUGGAAGAAAUCUAGCUCGGUGGCCUCAUUAAACAGGGCCAUGCUUUGGGGUGACAACACCUUUAUAAAAAGCAGCAGCUCCUUCCCCACACCUGUGAACAGGGGCAAUGGCAUUGACCUUCCUUUGGAAAAGCACGCAGGGAUUUAAGGACAGAAAGUGCUGCUUCAGCACUACUAUUUUUAUUCAGGAGGAGUGCUUCAGAGGAAGAUUUUUUUUUAAUACUUUUUUUUUUUUUUUCUCCUUUUCUCAUCCAAGUCCACUAAGGGCAUUCAGCCCUCAUCCCUUCUGGGCUGUUUGGCUGCAAAACAGCACAUGCAACUUCUGUGCCUCUGUGUCUCACCUGACAGCGCUUUGAUUUGCGUGAGAACCUGCCUAAGAUGUGGGGUAAUUAAUUAGGCAAUCCCCAGCAGACUUGGUUUAGGCUUUCAGGAUGGUGCAAUAUUGCUUUCCUCUCUUUGAAAGAAGGAGAUCCUUAAAAGUGUUUAAAGAAAUGAGCUGCUCAGCUGGCUCUAGGCAAGGUCUUCUCUGAGUCCUGGCCACUUUUCACUUGGAGAUUUCUUGGUUCUGCCUUUUCUGCCGGGGACAGGGACUGAAACUGAAACACUGCAAGAGAGGUUUCUCCCUUCAGGUUUUCAGUCCUUUUUUGCUGAUUCAAAGGCACUUUGAUUUUGUCUAGCCGCUUUUCAAGCUGAGUAUAUGAUGAUCUUAUUGGUGUGCCGUGCUAUUUCUGCCUGCCCUCGGGAGGCAGAGAUUUGGAUGACGGCACUGGUGAGGCAGGUGCGGGCUGGAUCCUUGACACUCUAAUUCUGAAAUCAAUGGAGCUGGGACGAUUCACUCCGCCUGGGCGCCAGGGAAAUCAGUGGCUUCCAGAUCAGCUCAGCUCCAUUUGGAGAGGAAAAGAAGGGGUUGCUCUUCUACUCUCGGAGCCAGGAAGAGUACCUGGCAUGCAAGAAACCCAUCUGUCCAUCACACAACAUCUCUUAAGGGGAGAGAUCCUGCAGCAGGGACCUCAGCAGCAGUUUAGAGGGUGGUGUACAGGGGGUGUCGUGGACUGUGGGUCUCUCCUUUCCAUCUGUACAGAGUAUUUGGGAAUGGAAGCGGAGAAAAGGGCUGGAAGGGUGAAGGAGGGAUACAGUCCUGAGUGCUCCUAGAUCACUGGUUCAUCUUUUCCCCUGAGUGCGCACUGCAGAAAUGUUUUCUGAGCUUUCUACCUGUGUCCUACAGCUGGGCACCAGCAUACCACUGCAACUUCCCUCUCUCACUGAUUGCACGUGGCUCCUUUAUAAAAUAUCACUUUGUUUCUCUGGGUCUCUGAUUGCUCCAAUAAAUGUUCUCCUUUGCAGGGGAGCCUAAAACA